rnacentral:rRNA from 1 species
CCUACGGGAGGCAGCAGUGGGGAAUAUUGGACAAUGGGGGGAACCCUGAUCCAGCGACGCCGCGUGAGUGAAGAAGUAUUUCGGUAUGUAAAGCUCUAUCAGCAGGGAAGAAAGAAAUGAAGGUACCUGACUAAGAAGCCCCGGCUAACUAAGUGCCAGCAGCCGAGGAAAUACGUAGGGGGAAAGCGUUAUCCGGAUUUACUUGGUGUAAAGGGAGCGUAGACGGUUACGCAAGUCUGGAGUGAAAGGCGGGGGCCCAACCCCCGGACUGCUUUGGAAACUGGAUAACUGGAGUGCAGGAGAGGUAAGUGGAAGUCCUAGUGUAGCGGUGAAAUGCGUAGAGAUUAGGAGGAACACCAGUGGCGAAGGCGGCUUACUGGACUGUAACUGACGUUGAGGCUCGAAAGCGUGGGGAGCAAACAGGAUUAGAUACCCGAGUAGUC